rnacentral:rRNA from 1 species
UACGUAGGGGGCAAGCGUUGUCCGGAAUUAUUGGGCGUAAAGAGCUCGUAGGCGGUCCUUUAAGUCGGGUGUGAAAUCUCAGGGCUCAACCCUGAAACCGCACCCGAUACUGAAGGACUUGAGGCAGGUAGGGGAAGGUGGAAUUCCUGGUGUAGCGGUGAAAUGCGCAGAUAUCAGGAGGAACACCCGUGGCGAAGGCGGCCUUCUGGGCCUGUUCUGACGCUGAGGAGCGAAAGCGUGGGGAGCAAACAGG